rnacentral:rRNA from 1 species
GACGAACGCUGGCGGCGUGCUUAACACAUGCAAGUCGAGCGGUAAGGCCCUUUCGGGGGUACACGAGCGGCGAACGGGUGAGUAACACGUGGGUGACCUGCCCUUAGCUCUGGGAUAAGCCUGGGAAACUGGGUCUAAUACCGGAUAUGACUCCAUAACGCAUGUUGUGGGGUGAAAGCCUUGUGCGGCUAGGGAUGGGCCCGCGGCCUAUCAGCUUGUUGGUGGGGUGAUGGCCACCAAGGCGACGACGGGUAGCCGGCCUGAGAGGGCGACCGGCCACACUGGGACUGAGACACGGCCCAGACUCCUACGGGAGGC